GUCCCAGUAGCGCAAUGGAUAACGCGUUGGACUUACAAUCCAAAGGUCGUGGGUUCGAAUCCCACCUGGGAUG
rnacentral:tRNA from 1 species